rnacentral:rRNA from 1 species
AGUCGUUCUGCCCAUUGAAUUUAAAAGGCUGCGGUAUAUUAACUGUACAAAGGUAGCAAAAUAAAUAGUUUUUUAAUUGAAAACUUGAAUGAAAGAGUUGAUAAAAUAUAAAUUGUCUCAAAUAUUAAAUUUAAAUUAAAAGUUAAAAUGCUUUUAUUUAUUUAUUAGACGAUAAGACCCUAAGAAUUUUAUAAUUUAUUAAAUUUUAAAAAUUUAAUUAAAUUAAAUUAUUUUAUUGGGAGGAUAAUUAAAUAAACUUUAAUUUGUAAAAUAUUAAUUGAUAAAAUUUAAUGAUUAAUAUAUUGAUUAUAAGAAUAAAUUACCUUAGGGAUAACAGCGUAAUAAUUUUGGAGAGUUCAUAUUGAUAAAAUUGUUUGCGACCUCGAUGUUGAAUUAAAAUAAAAGUUAAAUGAAGAUAUUUAAAUUUUUAGUCUGUUCGACUAUUAAAAUUUUAC